CUCCAGAUGUUGCUGAACUACAACUCCCAUGGUUUUAUGAAAAAAAUAGGCUGAGAAUCAUGGGAAUUGUAGUUCAGCAACAUCUGGAG